rnacentral:rRNA from 1 species
CGGGUAGCUUGGGAAUGCUGCUCUAAUUGGUGGUAAAUCUCAUCAAAGGCUAAAUAGCGGCCGGAGACCGAUAGCGAACAAGUACCGUGAGGGAAAGAUGACAAGCACUUUGAAAAGAGGGUGAAAAGAGCCUGAAACCGUCAUGGGGGAAGCGGAUUGCGUUGGACUGGUGGGUUGUUGCGUGUUCAGCCGUUUCGGUGCAUUGACGCAACAACUUAUCCGCCGUGGGUUCUGGGUGGUCGACAUUGGACCACUCGGGGCUGAGGGCUCCCUUUUAUAGGUGAGGACGGUGGAGCGACGACGCGAUACGACCCGUCUUGAAACACGGACCAAGGAGUCUAGCGCGGGUGCGAGUCAGAGGGUGCAAGCCCGUGGGCGAAGUGAAAGCGAGUGUAAAAACGAGCAGUUUGGGGCGGCAUAAGAUCGUUGAUCUCAAGACCGACCCAGAGCAGUUGCGCUGGGACCCGAAAGAUGGUGAACUAUGCCGGAGUAGGGCAAAGCCAGAGGAAACUCUGGUGGAGGCUCGUAGCGGUGCUGACGUGCAAAUCGCUCGUCGAACUUGGGUAUAGGGGCGAAAGACUAAUCGAACCAUCUAGUAGCUGGUUCCCUCCGAAGUUUCUCUC